GACGAACGCUGGCGGCGUGCUUAACACAUGCAAGUCGAGCGGGAAACUUCGGUUUCCAGCGGCGGACGGGUGAGUAACACGUGGGCAACCUGCCUCACAAUGAGGGAUAGCCCUCCGAAAGGAGGAUUAAUACCUCAUAACACAAGAGAAACGCAUGUUUCUCUUGCCAAAGAAUUUCGUUGUGAGAUGGGCCCGCGGCGCAUUAGCUUGUUGGUGAGGUAACGGCUCACCAAGGCUUCGAUGCGUAGCCGACCUGAGAGGGUGAUCGGCCACAUUGGAACUGAGACACGGUCCAGACUCCUACGGGAGGCAGCAGUGGGGAAUAUUGCACAAUGGAGGAAACUUUGAUGCAGCAACGCCGCGUGAGUGAUGAAGGUCUUCGGAUUGUAAAGCUCUGUCUUCUGGGACGAUAAUGACGGUACCAGAGGAGGAAGCCACGGCUAACUACGUGCCAGCAGCCGCUGUAAUAC
rnacentral:rRNA from 1 species